ACUCCUACGGGAGGCAGCAGUGGGGAAUAUUGCGCAAUGGGCGAAAGCCUGACGCAGCGACGCCGCGUGAGGGACGACGGCCUUCGGGUUGUAAACCUCUUUCAGCAGGGACGAAUAUGACGGUACCUGCAGAAGAAGCACCGGCUAACUACGUGCCAGCAGCCGCGGUAAU
rnacentral:rRNA from 1 species